rnacentral:rRNA from 1 species
UACGGGGGGAGCAAGCGUUGCUCGGAUUUACUGGGCGUAAAGGGCGCGUAGGCGGUCGUGACAAGUCACUUGUGAAAUCUCCGGGCUUAACUCGGAACGGUCAAGUGAUACUGUCGGACUAGAGUACAGAAGGGGCAACUGGAAUUCUCGGUGCAGCGGUGAAAUGCGUAGAUAUCGAGAGGAACACCUGCGGCGAAGGCGGGUUGCUGGGCUGAUACUGACGCUGAGGCGCGAAAGCCAGGGGAGCGAACGGG